GACGAACGCUGGCGGCGUGCUUAACACAUGCAAGUCGAACGGAAAGGCCCUGCUUUUGUGGGGUGCUCGAGUGGCGAACGGGUGAGUAACACGUGAGUAACCUGCCCUUGACUUUGGGAUAACUUCAUGAAACUGGGGCUAAUACCGGAUAGGAGCUCCUGCUGCAUGGUGGGGGUUGGAAAGUUUCGGCGGUUGGGGAUGUACUCGCGGCUUAUCAGCUUGUUGGUGGGGUAGUGGCUUACCAAGGCUUUGACGGGUAGCCGGCCUGAGAGGGUGACCGGCCCAACUGGGACUGAGAUACGGCCCAGACUACUACGGGAGGCAGGAGUGGGGAAUAUUGCACAAUGGGCGGAAGCCUGAUGCAGCAACGCCGCGUGCGGGAUGACGGCAUUCGGGUUGUAAACCGCUUUCGCCUGUGACGAAGCGUGAGUGACGGUAAUGGGUAAAGAAGCACCGGCUAACUACGUG
rnacentral:rRNA from 1 species